UCUCUCAAAUAAAUAAAACCUUAAAAAAUUGGAGCAACACAGAAAAGAUAGCAUGCCCCCUGUGCAAGGAUGACACACAAAUUGAGAAACGAUCCAUAUUUUA
rnacentral:snRNA from 1 species